GAUGAACGCUGGCGGCGUGCCUAAUACAUGCAAGUCGAACGAAACUUCUUUAUCACCGAGUGCUUGCACUCACCGAUAAAGAGUUGAGUGGCGAACGGGUGAGUAACACGUGGGCAACCUGCCCAAAAGAGGGGGAUAACACUUGGAAACAGGUGCUAAUACUGCAUAACCAUAGUUACCGCAUGGUAACUAUGUAAAAGGUGGCUAUACUACCGCUUUUGGAUGGGCCCGCGGCGCAUUAGCUAGUUGGUAGGGUAAAGGCUUACCAAGGCAAUGAUGCGUAGCCGAAUUGAGAGGUUGAUCGGCCACAUUGGGACUGAGACACGGCCCAAACUCCUACGGGAGGCAGCAGUAGGGAAUCUUCCACAAUGGGCGAAAGCCUGAUGGAGCAACGCCGCGUGGGUGAAGAAGGUCUUCGGAUCGUAAAACCCUGUUGUUAGAGAAGAAAGUGCGUGAGAGUAACUGUUCACGUUUCGACGGUAUCUAACCAGAAAGCCACGGCUAACUACGUG
rnacentral:rRNA from 1 species